CCAGGGUUCUGUGAACUUUGCGAAGUCUUUCAGAAUCCCGUUACCACACAGGCGGUUUUGUUUUUAACUCACAAUCACCUACUAGGCCACUUCUUUGGGGGAUCUAAACACUUUACAAGACCGUUCUCCUCCGUGACCAGACGCAGGCUCAGAGGUGAAGUCCGUGUCCUCUCUGGCAACAGAUGGUUCCUUUUUCCACAAAGCCAUCCCCCUUCUUUCUCCAAAGAUGCUUUCUUCUAAGACUCAGGUGACUGAUAAACUCUGAGGGGUGUGUGAUAUUUUCGGGACAGAUAAAAAGCAUAAAAAUACAGGUAAGAAAAUAAAAUUUAAUAACCUACUACUUUGGGUUGCUAUUAUAUAUUAUCAGGCAGCA